rfam:Myotis brandtii contig205000, whole genome shotgun sequence.
CAUGCACCAGUGGGGUCCCUCGGCCUGGCCUGCGCCCUCUAGGGGGAUGGUGGAGAGCUAGCUUCGGCCGAUCCAUGCAGGCCAGGCCGAGGGACCCCACUGGUGCAAG